rnacentral:snRNA from 1 species
GUACUUACCUGGCAGGAGAGAUACCAUGAUCACAGAGGUGGUUUUCCCAGGGUGAGGCUUAUACAUCCCACUCCUACAAUUUCCCCAAAAGUGGGAAACUUGACUGCAUAAAUUUUGGUAGUGGGGGACUGCAAUCACACUUUCCCCUA